CUUGCCUACGGGACGCAGCAGUGGGGAAUAUUGCACAAUGGGGGGAACCCUGAUGCAGCGACGCCGCGUGAGUGAAGAAGUAUUUCGGUAUGUAAAGCUCUAUCAGCAGGGAAGAAGAUGACGGUACCUGACUAAGAAGCCCCGGCUAACUACGUGCCAGCAGCCGCGGUAAUACGGAGGAUGCGAGCGUUAUCCGGAUUUACUGGGUGUAUAGGGGGCGCAGACGGCGAUGCAAGCCAGGAGUG
rnacentral:rRNA from 1 species